rnacentral:rRNA from 1 species
CAGUCGCCGCGGGAAUACAGAGGGUGCAAGCGUUAAUCGGAAUUACUGGGCGUAAAGCGCGCGUAGGUGGUUCGCCAAGUUGGAUGUGAAAUCCCCGGGCUCAACCUGGGAACUGCAUCCAAAACUGGCGAGCUAGAGUAUGGUAGAGGGUGGUGGAAUUUCCUGUGUAGCGGUGAAAUGCGUAGAUAUAGGAAGGAACAUCAGUGGCGAAGGCGACCACCUGGACUGAUACUGACGCUGAGGUGCGAAAGCGUGGGGAGCAAACAGGAUUAGAUACCCCAGUAGUCCCUGUCUCUUAUAC